rnacentral:rRNA from 1 species
UACGUAGGGUGCAAGCGUUAAUCGGAAUUACUGGGCGUAAAGCGUGCGCAGGCGGUGAUGUAAGACAGAUGUGAAAUCCCCGGGCUCAACCUGGGAACUGCAUUUGUGACUGCAUCGCUGGAGUGCGGCAGAGGGGGAUGGAAUUCCGCGUGUAGCAGUGAAAUGCGUAGAUAUGCGGAGGAACACCGAUGGCGAAGGCACCUCCCGUG